rnacentral:rRNA from 1 species
CCUACGGGCGGCAGCAGUGAGGAAUAUUGGUCAAUGGACGAGAGUCUGAACCAGCCAAGUCGCGUGAAGGAUGACUGCCCUAUGGGUUGUAAACUUCUUUUAUCUGGGAAUAAAAUGUUCCACGUGUGGGAUUUUGUAUGUACCAUAUGAAUAAGGAUCGGCUAACUCCGUGCCAGCAGCCGCGGUAAUACGGAGGAUCCGAGCGUUAUCCGGAUUUAUUGGGUUUAAAGGGAGCGUAGGUGGAUUGUUAAGUCAGUUGUGAAAGUUUGCGGCUCAACCGUAAAAUUGCAGUUGAAACUGGCAGUCUUGAGGACAGUAGAGGUGGGCGGAAUUCGUGGUGUAGCGGUGAAAUGCUUAGAUAUCACGAAGAACUCCGAUUGCGAAGGCAGUUCACUGGACUGCAACUGACACUGAGGCUCGAAAGUGUGGGUAUCAAACAGGAUUAGAUACCCGGGUAGUC